AAAAAUGAAGCAAUCAUUGCAAUCAGUUUCGACCUGAUUUAUUGGAAAUACCCAUUUUUA
rnacentral:tRNA from 1 species